AAAACAUCACCUCUUGACCUCCAUAAGAGGCCCAGCCUGCCCAGUGACAAUUUAACGGCCGCGGUAUCCUAACCGUGCGAAGGUAGCGUAAUCACCUGUCUCCUAAUUAGAGACCUGUAUGAAUGGCACCACGAGAGUCAAGCUGUCUCCUUUCUCCAGUCAGUGAAACUAAUCUCCCUGUGAAAAAGCAGGGAUCCUAAAACAAGACGAGAAGACCCUUUGAAGCUUUAGACAAAAUAAAAUUAUACUCUACCUCCAUCACCUAUAUCACCUUAAAAUACAUUUUAUCAGUCUUCGGUUGGGGCAACCACGGAGUAAAAAAAACCCUCCAAGAUGUUAUGGAAUACUCCUAAACAAAAAGCCACAACUUUAUGUAUCAACAAAUUGACAUCAUUAGACCCAAUAAUUUGAUUAACGAACCAAGUUACCCAAGGGAUAACAGCGCAAUCCACUCCAAGAGUCCCCAUCGAAGAGUGGGCUUACGACCUCGAUGUUGGAUCAAGGUACCCCAGUGGUGCAGCCGCUACUAAAGGUUCGUUUGUUCAACGAUUAAAACCUCACGUGAUCU
rnacentral:rRNA from 1 species